AGCGAACGCUGGCGGCAGGCCUAACACAUGCAAGUCGAACGAACCUUUCGGGGUUAUUGGCGGACGGGUGAGUAACACGUGGGAACGUUCCUUUAGGUUCGGAAUAACUCAGGGAAACUUGUGCUAAUACCGAAUGUGCCCUUCGGGGGAAAGAUUAAUCGCCUUUAGUGCGGCCCGCGUCUGAUUAGCUAGUUGGUUGAGGUAAUGGCUCACCAAGGCGACGUUCAGUAGCUGGUCUGAGAGGAUGAUCAGAGACAUUGGUACUGAGACACGGCACAAAAUCCUACGGGAGGCAGCAGUGGGGAAUCGUGCGCAAUGGGCGAAAGCCUGACGCAGCCAUGACGCGUGAAUGAUGAAGGUCUUAGGAUUGUAAAAUUCUUUCACCGGGGACGAUAAUGACGGUACCCGGAGAAGAAGCCCCGGCUAACUUCGUG
rnacentral:rRNA from 1 species